AUAGGCCCUGAAUAUUCUGAAAGCACAGAAUCUUGUCAGAUCUUGAAAGAUAAGCAGAGUUAGGCCUAGUUAAUAGGUAGAGGGAGAACCACUAAAUGAUCCCAGGUGCUGUGUAUU
rnacentral:rRNA from 11 species